rnacentral:rRNA from 3 species
UUAAAUUGAAGAGUUUGAUCAUGGCUCAGAUUGAACGCUGGCGGCAGGCCUAACACAUGCAAGUCGAACGGUAGCACAGAGAGCUUGCUCUCGGGUGACGAGUG